rnacentral:rRNA from 1 species
AUUGAACGCUGGCGGCAGGCUUAACACAUGCAAGUCGAGCGGAGAUGAGGUGCUUGCACCUUAUCUUAGCGGCGGACGGGUGAGUAAUGCUUAGGAAUCUGCCUAUUUGUGGGGGACAACAUUCCGAAAGGAAUGCUAAUACCGCAUACGUCCUACGGGAGAAAGCAGGGGAUCUUCGGACCUUGCGCUAAUAGGUGAGCCUAAGUCGGAUUAGCUAGUUGGUGGGGUAAAGGCCUACCAAGGCGACGAUCUGUAGCGGGUCUGAGAGGAUGAUCCGCCACACUGGGACUGAGACACGGCCCAGACUCCUACGGGAGGCAGUAGUGGGGAAUAUUGGACAAUGGGGGCAACCCUGAUCCAGCCAUGCCGCGUGUGUGAAGAGGGCCUUAUGGUUGUAAAGCACUUUAAGCGAGGAGGAGGCUACUGAGACUAAUACUCUUGGAUAGUGGACGUUACUCGCAGAAUAAGCACCGGCUAACUCUGUGCCAGCCGCCGCGGUAACAC